CACUUUUUUAGAACUCUUCGGAGGGAAGAGAGGGUGACUCAUCGGCGGACGGGUGAGUAACGCGUGGGCAACCUGCCUUACACAGGGGGAUAACAAUUAGAAAUGAUUGCUAAUACCGCAUAAGACCACAGCAUUGCAUGAUGCAGUGGUAAAAACUGAGGUGGUGUAAGAUGGGCCCGCGUCUGAUUAGGUAGUUGGUGGGGUAGAAGCCUACCAAGCCGACGAUCAGUAGCCGACCUGAGAGGGCGACCGGCCACAUUGGGACUGAGACACGGCCCAAACUCCUACGGGAGGCAGCAGUGGGGAAUAUUGCACAAUGGGGGAAACCCUGAUGCAGCGACGCCGCGUGAGUGAGGAAGUAUUUCGGUAUGUAAAGCUCUAUCAGCAGGGAAGAAAAUGACGGUACCUGACUAAGAAGCCCCGGCUAACUACGUGCCAGCAGCCGCGGUAAUACGUAGGGGGCAAGCGUUAUCCGGAUUUACUGGGUGUAAAGGGAGCGUAGACGGAAUUGCAAGUCUGAUGUGAAAAUCCGGGGCCCAACCCCGGAACUGCAUUGGAAACUGUAUUUCUAGAGUGUCGGAGAGGCAAGUGGAAUUCCUGGUGUAGCGGUGAAAUGCGUAGAUAUCAGGAGGAACACCAGUGGCGAAGGCGGCUUGCUGGACGAUGACUGACGUUGAGGCUCGAAAGCGUGGGGAGCAAACA
rnacentral:rRNA from 1 species